GGGAAUGUUGUCUGGUUCGAUGUCAUUCAUGUAAAACUGAUCAAAUAUUAAUCAACCGUUGGAUGAAUGAUUUCGGACCAGGCUUCAUUCCCCCCAACUAGGUUUGAUCAAUCUUUUAACUCUCAGUAUCUCUGUAUAUAUAGCUUCCAUGAUUACUUCUUCAUCAAACCAUAAUAUACAGCUUGCAAGAAACAUAAGGGUUUAUCGAUAUCUGAUAAAGACCAAAAAGAGCAAGAAUUCGGUCACCGGAACGAGCCCGCGAGCCCGGAAGCAGGUCCGGAUAAAUAUAUAUAUAUAUACACACAAUUUUCUAGAGAACGGUGUGUCGUUGCCUGCCGAUACCAAUCUCUCAGGUUAUCCAUGGAACAUUUGCCUAUACGUAAUUACACUGUCAGCAAAUUCAAAAUUAGCACUUUCAAUAAUUUUUUCUUUUUUCCUUCUUUUACCCUCUUUGGGAAGAGCAGAUUCUCUCUCCAAAUUUCCUUGCUAACCAAAGAAAAGCUGCAGAAAGUUUCAGUAGAUUGAUAGACCUCUUACUAAAGAAAAAAGGAAAAUCUAACAUUUAAAACAGAAUAAGAAAGCAAAAAUUAAGGUUGAGAUGAAUAUCUUCAAUUUCGAUCCACUUCACCUGCAACACCAUGAUCAGAGCUUUCACUGUAAAAUGAACCCACAGCUAUUGCUUUCCUCUUCACCUAAUAAUUUUAAUGUCUCUAUUGUACUCUCUUUCUUCUAAUAAUGCUUCCUUGGCUUAUUAGAAAAAAAAAAAAAAUCCUUUUGAAAACUUGUAGUGACAAUGAUAUAUUUUUGGUUUUCGCUUGCCAUGCCCUAGCAAUCAGAUUGCGUUAAGAGUCGUAUAUAUAAUGUAUGAUUUGGUUAUAGAUUUGAACUUACAAUUAAUCUCGUAGUAGUUGAGAUGACUUCAAUAAUUUACUUAUAUUUUAAAUUUCAAUCUAGAAUUAUAUUACGUGUUAAUUUCUGUUUGUUUGAGAAAAAUAAUUAACAAAAAAUUAUAUAUAUGCAUA